rnacentral:rRNA from 1 species
UACAGAGGGUGCGAGCGUUAAUCGGAAUUACUGGGCGUAAAGAGCUCGUAGGCGGUCUGUCGCGUCGGCUGUGAAAUCCCGAGGCUCAACCUCGGGUCUGCAGUCGAUACGGGCAAACUAGAGUAUUGCAGGGGAGACUGGAAUUCCUGGUGUAGCGGUGAAAUGCGCAGAUAUCAGGAGGAACACCGGUGGCGAAGGCGGGUCUCUGGGCAAUAACUGACGCUGAGGAGCGAAAGCGUGGGGAGCGAACAGG